GAGCUGGAGAUUGGUUUAGAGGCAAAAUCUCCAAGGGACAUUGAAACAGUUCCAACGCCUAUAGAUACAAGUCUGAAAGCAGACCAGGAACAAUCUCCGUUGGAUCCAAAUGAAUAUAAGCUGAUUAUGAAGACCGCAUAUGAAUCAAAGGGGAGUGCUAGGCUCACACUCGUAACUUGCCACGUGUGAGCAAAAAAACUCAUACAAAUUUGUUCUUUUAUGUUCCUUGUAUGCAACAGCAGCAGCAGCUUUUCUACCAGCAACAACAACAUUCUUACCAACAAAUGAUGUCUCAGCCUUGCUACGAGCACUAUCAACCAUUCUCUCAGCAGCCGCAGCCUCCGUACCAAGAACUUCAUCCUUCUUACAUGCAGCCGCAGCCUCAGUACCAACAGCAGAAUCCUUCCUACAUGCAGCUGCCGCCACCAAAUCAUCAAGUGCCUUACUCGCUCAAGAUGUUCUGGAAUGAUGCAACCUGAAUAUUUCAAGAUUUCAACUUUUGGCAAUAAUUUUGUCAUCAUUUUGUUAGGAAAUAUUAUUCUAUUUCUU